rnacentral:rRNA from 1 species
AACGAACGCUGGCGGCAGGCUUAACACAUGCAAGUCGAGCGCCCCGCAAGGGGAGCGGCAGACGGGUGAGUAACGCGUGGGAAUCUACCCAUCUCUACGGAAUAACGCAUGGAAACGUGUGCUAAUACCGUAUACGUCCUUCGGGAGAAAGAUUUAUCGGCGAUGGAUGAGCCCGCGUUGGAUUAGCUAGUUGUUGGGGUAAAGGCCUACCCAGGCGACGAUCCAUAGCUGGUCUGAGAGGAUGAGCAGCCACCCUGGGACUGAGACCCGGCCCCGACUCCUACGGCCGGCAGCAGUGGGGAAUAUUGGACAAUGGGCGCAAGCCUGAUCCAGCCAUGCCGCGUGAGUGAUGAAGGCCCUAGGGUUGUAAAGCUCUUUCACCGGUGAAGAUAAUGACGGUAACCGGAGAAGAAGCCCCGGCUAACUCCGUGCCAGCCGCCGCAGUAACAC